CGACAGAAUACACCGGAUGCUACAAACAUAACAGCACAACGUUUGGAUGGGAGAAUUCAAGCGUCGUGAAUAAUGUUAACUUUUCAACUGAUGUGUAUCGGGAAUGUCAAAGCAAAGCAAGAGGACAAGAACUCCACCUAGCUCAGUUUGAGUUCGACAAAAAUCAACAAUUAUCGAUCAGGUGCAAACCUGAAACCAAGAUCCACAUAUUUGAAGCUCUGCUCUUUGAUCUUACUCCCGAAUGCUCUGGUAAAGUCAUUGAAAACGUUACAACGUCAAUUUACAACAUGUGUUCCGCUGCGGAACAGUGUCAAAUAUACGACCUUAUUGAAGCAGACUACAAUGUUGCAGAUGGUUGUAUUUACGAAAGGAUGAAUAUUACUUUUGGUUGCAUGUACGACAGAUUAUUCAAAUUAACCAGA